rnacentral:rRNA from 1 species
AACGAACGCUGGCGGCAUGCCUAACACAUGCAAGUCGAACGAAGCCUUCGGGCUUAGUGGCGCACGGGUGCGUAACGCGUGGGAAUCUGCCCUUUGGUUCGGAAUAACAGUUGGAAACGACUGCUAAUAUCGGAUGAUGACGAAAGUCCAAAGAUUUAUCGCCAGAGGAUGAGCCCGCGUAGGAUUAGCUAGUUGGUGUGGUAAAGGCGCACCAAGGCGACGAUCCUUAGCUGGUCUGAGAGGAUGAUCAGCCACACUGGGACUGAGACACGGCCCAGACUCCCACGGGAGGCAGGAAUGGGGAAUAUUGGAAAAAGGGCGAAAGGCUGAUCCAGCAAAGCCGCGUGAGUGAUGAAGGCCCUAGGGUUGUAAAGCUCUUUUGCCCGGGAUGAUAAUGACAGUACCGGGAGAAUAAGCCCCGGCUAACUCCGUGCCAGCCGCCGCCGUAA